rnacentral:rRNA from 1 species
UCAAGGUGAGAGAUACGGAGGUAGAGCACUGAAUGUCCUAGGGGGUAUUGCACCUACCGAAGACUAUCAAACUCCGAAUGCCGUCAUCUUAUACUUGGGAGUCAGACUGUGGGUGAUAAGAUUCAUAGUCGAAAGGGCAACAGCCCAGAUCGUCAGCUAAGGUCCCUAAAUGUAAGUUAAGUGGUAAAGGAUGUGGGAUUGCACAGACAACCAGGAUGUUGGCUUAGAAGCAGCCACUCAUUCAAAGAGUGCGUAAUAGCUCACUGGUCGAGUGAUCCUGCGCCGAAGAUUUCCGGGGCUAAAACUUACUACCGAAGCUACGGCAUCAGUAAUGAUGGGUAGGGGAGCUUCCCAUACGGGUUGAAGCAUGACCGUAAGGACAUGUGGACAGUAUGGGAGUGAGAAUGUUGGCAUGAGUAGCGAGAUGUGGGUGAGAAUCCCACAGGCCGUAAACCCAAGGUUUCCAGGGGAAGGUUCGUCCGCCCUGGGUUAGUCGGGACCUAAGCUGAGGCCGAAAGGCGUAGGUGAUGGACAACAGGUUGAUAUUCCUGUACUACCGAUAACCGUUUGAGAGAAGGGAUGACACAGUAGGAUAAGCUAAGCACACUGUUGGUUAUGUGUGCCCAAGCAUUGAGGCAGUCAAAGUAGGCAAAUCCGCUUUGAUAAUGCUGGGAUGUGAUGGGGAGCGAAAUUUAGUAGCGAAGUAGCUGAUUUCACACUGUCAAGAAAAGUCUCUAUCGAGGUUAAAGGUACCCGUACCGCAAACCGACACAGGUGGGUGAGGAGAGUAUCCUAAGGCCAGCGAGAGAACUGUUGUUAAGGAACUCGGCAAAAUGACCCCGUAACUUAGGGAUAAGGGGUGCCACCAUCAGGUGGCCGCAGAGAAUAGGCCCAAGCGACUGUUUACCAAAAACAUAGGUUUCUGCUAAGUCGCAAGACGAUGUAUAGGAGCUGACGCCUGCCCGGUGCUGGAAGGUUAAGGGGAUCUGUUAGAGCAAUCGAAGCAGUGAACUUAAGCCCCAGUAAACGGCGGCCGUAACUAUAACGGUCCUAAGGUAGCGAAAUUCCUUGUCGGGUAAGUUCCGACCCGCACGAAAGGCGUAACGAUUUGGGCACUGUCUCAACAACAGACUCGGUGAAAUUGUAAUUCCGGUGAAGAUGCCGGAUACCUGCGACAGGACGGAAAGACCCCAUGGAGCUUUACUGUAGCUUGACAUUGGGUCUUGGUACUACAUGUACAGGAUAGGUGGGAGGCUUUGAAACCAGGACGCCAGUUUUGGCGGAGCCAUCCUUGGGAUACCACCCUUGUAGUACUGGGACUCUAACCAUAGGCCAUGAAUCUGGUCUUGGGACACUGUCAGGUGGGCAGUUUGACUGGGGCGGUCGCCUCCCAAAAGGUAACGGAGGCGCUCAAAGGUUCUCUCAGUACGGUCGGAAAUCGUACGUAGAGUGUAAAGGCAAAAGAGAGCUUGAUUGCAAGACAUACAGGUCGAGCAAGGAUGAAAAUCGGACUUAGUGAUCCGGUGGUUCUGCGUGGAAGGGCCAUCGCUCAACGGAUAAAAGCUACCCUGGGGAUAACAGGCUUAUCUCCCCCAAGAGUCCACAUCGACGGGGAGGUUUGGCACCUCGAUGUCGGCUCAUCACAUCCUGGGGCUGUAGUAGGUCCCAAGGGUUGGGCUGUUCGCCCAUUAAAGUGGUACGCGAGCUGGGUUCAGAACGUCGUGAGACAGUUCGGUCCCUAUCCGUCGCAGGCGUAGGAAAUUUGAGAAGACCUGUCCUUAGUACGAGAGGACCGGGAUGGACGUACCUCUGGUGUACCAGUUGUCCUGCCAAGGGCAUGGCUGGGUAGCUAUGUACGGAAUGGAUAAGCGCUGAAAGCAUCUAAGCGCGAAGCCAACUUCAAGAUAAGAUUUCCCACCGCAAGGGUAAGACCCCAGAAAGACUAUCUGGUUGAUAGGUCGAAGGUGUAAGUGCAGCAAUGUAUUUAGCUUAUCGAUACUAAUAGGUCGAGGACUUGACC